AUCAAGCUGAAGAGUCGUAAAUAGGACGAAAGGUGUGUCCUAGAU
rnacentral:hammerhead_ribozyme from 1 species